GCCAAGGGAUGGAUGCCCACCAAGAACUGGGAUGCCAAGGGAUGGAUGCCCACCAAUCCCACCGGGAUGCCCAGGGGAUGGAUGCCCACCCAGAACUGGAAUUCCCAUGGGAUGGACGCCCACUCAGGACCAGCGUGCCCAGGAGAUGGAUGCCCACCCAGAACCGGGAUGCCAAGGGAUGGAUGCCCACCAAGAACUGGGAUGCCCUGGGGAUGGACACACACAGAUCCCACCAGGAUGCCCAGGGGAUGGACACACAAUGAUCCAACUGGAAUUCCCAGGGGAUGGAUGCCCACUCAGAACUGGAAUUCCCAUGGGAUGGAUGCCCACUCAGGACCAGGAUGCCAAGGGAUGGAUGCCCACCGAUCCCACCAGGAUGCCAGGGGAUGGAUGCCCACCGAUCCCACCGGGAUGAGCCGUUCCCAGAAUCCCGGGAGUGGAGGCGCGCUUCCCAAAAACCCAGACCGGACGAGGCGGAAAAUGGGCAAGGCUGGGAUGGAGCGGAGGGCUGAGAGUCCCGAGGCUGCCCGGAAACCGGGGCAGCUCUGGGGGAUCCCCGAUGGUCCAGGGGAUCCCCGAAGCCGUGGAGGAUCCCUGGAGCUCCAGUGGAUCCCUAAAACCAUGGGUGAUCCUUGAAGCUCCAGUGGAUCCCUGAAUCCAUGGAUGAUCCUUGAAGCUCCAGUGGAUCCCUAAAAUCAUGGAGAAUCCCUGAAGCCAUGGAGGGGUCCCUGGAGCUCCAGUGGAUCCCUGAAGCUCCAGUGGAUCCCUAAAACCAUUGAGGGUCAUUGAAGGUCCAGUGGAGCCCUGAAUCCAUGGAUGAUCCCUGAAGCUCCAGUGGAUCCGUAAAACCAUGGAGGAUCCUUGAUGCUCCAGUGGAUCCCUGGAUUCAUGGAUGAUCCCUGAAGCUCCAGUGGAUCCCUGAAUCCAUGGAGGAUCCCUGAAGCUCCAGCAGAUCCCUAAAACCGUGGAGGAUCCCUGAAGCCAUGGGGGAUUCCUGAAGCUCCAGUGGAUCCCCGAAGCCAUGGAGGACCCCCAAAGUCCCUGGUGGAUCCCUGAAGCUGCAGGGGGUUCCUGGAGCUGUGGUGGAUCCCUGAAUUUGUGGUGGAUCCCUGGAGGCCUGAUGGAUCCCUGGAGAUCUGGUGGGUCCCUGGGUGGCUCCUGGGAGCUCUGGAGGAUCUCUAAAGCUGUGGUAGAUCCUCGAAGCUCCGGUGGAUCCCUGGAGAUCCGGCGGGUCCUCGGGUGGAUCCCUGAGGCUGCAGAGGAUCCUUAAAGCUGUGGUAGAUCCCUGAAGCUCCAGUGGAUCCCUGGGUGGGUCCCUGGGGAUCCGGUGGAUCCCUGGGGGUGUGGAGGAUCCCUAAAGCUGUGGUAGAUCCACGAAGCUCUGGUGGAUCCCCAAAGUUCUGGUGGAUCCCUGGACGGAUCCCUGGAGCUCCGGAGGAUCCCAGGCGGAUCCCUGGAGAUCUGGUGGAUCCCUGGACAGAUCCCUGGAGCUCUGGUGGAUCCCAGGCGGAUCCCUGGAGAUCCGGUGGCGCCGGGAUCUUCAGGACGCGCCGCCCCAGGCUCCGUCUCCCUCCCGCCGCUGUUCCCGCGCCGUUGGAUCCAAACCGUGAGGGAAACAGGGUCAGAUCCCGGGAAA
ensembl:lncRNA